rnacentral:lncRNA from 1 species
AAAAAAAAAAAAAACACACAUAUAGACAUAUAUACACAUCACAUAAAUUUUAUACAUAUUUUUAAACAUCGUAUAAAAAAAAAAAAAAAAUGUUAGUGCGGAAGUUUUUUUUUUUAAAUACUGCUGUGAAUAAACGAAUAUUUUAUACAACUAUAGGAAAAAGGGGUGGUAUAUAUAGUAGUUUUAAUUAUAUGAAAAGGUUCAAAAUGGACAUGAGCGAAAAACAAAAAGCUGUUAAUGAUAGUAAUGGUAAUAGUAGCAACCGUGAGAGUAGCAGCGACAAAGAAAAUGAAAAUGACAAAGUAGAAACAGAAAAAAUCGUUAACUUUAGCAAUCAUAAAUACAUUGAUUUUUUUCGAGAUGAAACAAGAAACAUUGGAAUAAUAACAUUUAAAAAUAUAAAUAAAAAAAAAAAUAUAUUUCAAGAAUUUUUAGGAGAGUUUAAAAACGUAAUAGAACAUAUAAACAAUGUCAUUGCAAAUGAAGAAAGUAAAACUUCUUAUUAUAUAAAAGAGUUUAAAAAUACAGAUAAUUAUUUAGUGAAAAAUAUAAAAAACAGUAUACCAUAUUAUGAUAGUAAGUUAAAAGUGUUAAUAAUUAACAGCAGCUUGGUAAAGCAAAAUGGGGUAGGUAAUAUUACUAGUGAUGCGAAUAACUCUAGUAAUAAUAGUAAUGACAAUAAUAAUACUAAUAUUGAUACUGAUUCGUCAGAUAUUUUUUUAAAUUCAUUAGAUUAUAACUCGUAUUUAAAAAAUGAUGAAAAGGUUAAUAUACAUACGUCAAAUAUGUUUCGAAUGUUAUGCAAUCAUAUACAAAGUUUGCCUGUUAUAACAAUUAGUAAUAUAAAUGGGGUAUGUUAUAAUUGUGGAAUGGAUAUUUUGUUGUCAAGCGAUUUUUGUAUUUCUAGUGAAAAGAGUAGAUUUGGAUUUGAUAAAACAUACAUUGGUUUAUACCCAUAUGGAGGUAGUACACAAAAGAUUUUUCGUCAAAUUUCUAUGAGUUAUUCUAAAUUUUUGUUAUUAACAAGUCAGGCAAUAAAUGCACAAGAUGCUUUAAAAAUGAACUUAAUUGAUAUCUGUUUAAAAACAAAUGAACAUUUUUAUAUUAAAAAUUCGAAUGUUUCUUUUGAUAAAACAAAAACAAAUGAACAAAAAUUUACUAUCAUAAAAAAAGAAAUUAUCAAAUAUUUUCACGAUAUAUUUUUAUAUAAUUUAUUUAAAAAUAAAAUAAAUGAUGAUAGUUUUAUUUUCACACUUUUUUUUGCUUACCAAUUCUUAUUUAUUCCAACACACAUAUUACAAAAUAUAAAGUUAAGUAUUAAUGAAGGCACUACAAUGUCUGACGCUAAUGCAUAUUUAGAAUGCGACAGAACAUUUUUUGAGAAAACAAUUAAUUCAGUUGAACGUUUAGACAUCUUAGCUUAUAUUAAGCGCAGUAAAACUAAGUGAGUCGCUUUAUUAUAACUGCACAUAUGUAUAUAUAUAUAUAUAUAUAUAUAUAUAUAUCACAAGUUACUACGCUCAAAAAUCAAUUUACGCUAUACUUUUCUACUAAGUAUUUUGCAUACGCAUAUGUUGACUGUAUUUUUUGUAAAUAUAUUAUAUAAUAUGAAAACAGCUAUAACAAAAAAAAAAAAAAUAAAAUAAAAAAAUAACAUUAU